GGUUAAGCGACUAAGCGUACACGGUGGAUGCCCUGGCAGUCAGAGGCGAUGAAGGACGUGCUAAUCUGCGAUAAGCGCCGGUAAGGUGAUAUGAACCGUUAUAACCGGCGAUUUCCGAAUGGGGAAACCCAGUGUGAUUCGUCACACUAUCAUUAACUGAAUCCAUAGGUUAAUGAGGCGAACCGGGGGAACUGAAACAUCUAAGUACCCCGAGGAAAAGAAAUCAACCGAGAUUCCCCCAGUAGCGGCGAGCGAACGGGGAGGAGCCCAGAGCCUGAAUCAGCAUGUGUGUUAGUGGAAGCGUCUGGAAAGGCGCGCGAUACAGGGUGACAGCCCCGUACACAAAAGCGCAUGUGCUGUGAGCUCGAUGAGUAGGGCGGGACACGUGGUAUCCUGUCUGAAUAUGGGGGGACCAUCCUCCAAGGCUAAAUACUCCUGACUGACCGAUAGUGAACCAGUACCGUGAGGGAAAGGCGAAAAGAACCCCGGCGAGGGGAGUGAAAAAGAACCUGAAACCGUGUACGUACAAGCAGUGGGAGCACAGGUUUACCUGUGUGACUGCGUACCUUUUGUAUAAUGGGUCAGCGACUUAUAUUCUGUAGCAAGGUUAACCGUAUAGGGGAGCCGGAGGGAAACCGAGUCUUAAUUGGGCGUUAAGUUGCAGGGUAUAGACCCGAAACCCGGUGAUCUAGCCAUGGGCAGGUUGAAGGUUGGGUAACACUAACUGGAGGACCGAACCGACUAAUGUUGAAAAAUUAGCGGAUGACCUGUGGCUGGGGGUGAAAGGCCAAUCAAACCGGGAGAUAGCUGGUUCUCCCCGAAAGCUAUUUAGGUAGCGCCUCGUGAAUUCAUCUCCGGGGGUAGAGCACUGUUUCGGCUAGGGGGCCAUCCCGGCUUACCAACCCGAUGCAAACUGCGAAUACCGGAGAAUGUUAUCACGGGAGACACACGGCGGGUGCUAACGUCCGUCGUGAAGAGGGAAACAACCCAGACCGCCAGCUAAGGUCCCAAAGUCAUGGUUAAGUGGGAAACGAUGUGGGAAGGCCCAGACAGCCAGGAUGUUGGCUUAGAAGCAGCCAUCAUUUAAAGAAAGCGUAAUAGCUCACUGGUCGAGUCGGCCUGCGCGGAAGAUGUAACGGGGCUAAACCAUGCACCGAAGCUGCGGCAGCGAACGUAUCACUUAAAGCGAUUCAGCGGGUUACGACUGACGGAGCGAAGCGACGUCAAAGCGUAUACAAAGUCGAGUCGGUUUAAGGAUACGUUCGUUGGGUAGGGGAGCGUUCUGUAAGCCUGCGAAGGUGGCCUGUGAGGGUUGCUGGAGGUAUCAGAAGUGCGAAUGCUGACAUAAGUAACGAUAAAGCGGGUGAAAAGCCCGCUCGCCGGAAGACCAAGGGUUCCUGUCCAACGUUAAUCGGGGCAGGGUGAGUCGACCCCUAAGGCGAGGCCGAAAGGCGUAGUCGAUGGGAAACGGGUUAAUAUUCCCGUACUUGGUGUUACUGCGAAGGGGGGACGGAGAAGGCUAUGUUGGCCGGGCGACGGUUGUCCCGGUUUAAGCGUGUAGGUGUGUGUUCCAGGUAAAUCCGGUUCACUUUAACACUGAGGCGUGACGACGAGGCACUACGGUGCUGAAGCAACAAAUGCCCUGCUUCCAGGAAAAGCCUCUAAGCAUCAGGUAACAUCAAAUCGUACCCCAAACCGACACAGGUGGUCAGGUAGAGAAUACCAAGGCGCUUGAGAGAACUCGGGUGAAGGAACUAGGCAAAAUGGUGCCGUAACUUCGGGAGAAGGCACGCUGACACGUAGGUGAAGUGAUUUACUCAUGGAGCUGAAGUCAGUCGAAGAUACCAGCUGGCUGCAACUGUUUAUUAAAAACACAGCACUGUGCAAACACGAAAGUGGACGUAUACGGUGUGACGCCUGCCCGGUGCCGGAAGGUUAAUUGAUGGGGUCAGCGCAAGCGAAGCUCCUGAUCGAAGCCCCGGUAAACGGCGGCCGUAACUAUAACGGUCCUAAGGUAGCGAAAUUCCUUGUCGGGUAAGUUCCGACCUGCACGAAUGGCGUAAUGAUGGCCAGGCUGUCUCCACCCGAGACUCAGUGAAAUUGAACUCGCUGUGAAGAUGCAGUGUACCCGCGGCAAGACGGAAAGACCCCGUGAACCUUUACUAUAGCUUGACACUGAACAUUGAGCCUUGAUGUGUAGGAUAGGUGGGAGGCUUUGAAGUGUGGACGCCAGUCUGCAUGGAGCCGACCUUGAAAUACCACCCUUUAAUGUUUGAUGUUCUAACGUGGACCCGUAAUCCGGGUUGCGGACAGUGUCUGGUGGGUAGUUUGACUGGGGCGGUCUCCUCCUAAAGAGUAACGGAGGAGCACGAAGGUUGGCUAAUCCUGGUCGGACAUCAGGAGGUUAGUGCAAUGGCAUAAGCCAGCUUGACUGCGAGCGUGACGGCGCGAGCAGGUGCGAAAGCAGGUCAUAGUGAUCCGGUGGUUCUGAAUGGAAGGGCCAUCGCUCAACGGAUAAAAGGUACUCCGGGGAUAACAGGCUGAUACCGCCCAAGAGUUCAUAUCGACGGCGGUGUUUGGCACCUCGAUGUCGGCUCAUCACAUCCUGGGGCUGAAGUAGGUCCCAAGGGUAUGGCUGUUCGCCAUUUAAAGUGGUACGCGAGCUGGGUUUAGAACGUCGUGAGACAGUUCGGUCCCUAUCUGCCGUGGGCGCUGGAGAACUGAGGGGGGCUGCUCCUAGUACGAGAGGACCGGAGUGGACGCAUCACUGGUGUUCGGGUUGUCAUGCCAAUGGCACUGCCCGGUAGCUAAAUGCGGAAGAGAUAAGUGCUGAAAGCAUCUAAGCACGAAACUUGCCCCGAGAUGAGUUCUCCCUGAGACUUAGAGUCUCCUGAAGGAACGUUGAAGACGACGACGUUGAUAGGCCGGGUGUGUAAGCGCAGCGAUGCGUUGAGCUAACCGGUACUAAUGAACCGUGAGGCUUAACCUU
rnacentral:rRNA from 1 species